rnacentral:lncRNA from 1 species
CAAUGCCCUGGUCUACAAAUCACAGAUGCUUGCAAUGACAUGACAUGGUUCCAACACCAGUACACAGUCUGAAGGCGGGGAAACCGCAUGUGGUAGUGGUUUGUGCAUCCAAUGGGCAGUGAUUGAGUCCGAUGGUGUUACAGCCAACAAGUCGACGUCAACAGUGCUCAACGACGAAGACGUCGGUCAAGCGGCUAGGGCUCCAAUCAAGUUCCGACAAGUUUCCGGUGUAGCUGCAUACUUGGAUGUUAGCAAAGGGCUAUCACAGGUGGUAGCAAAUAGUAAGGAUGCAAAUAAACCAAGAGCUUGAUGAUACUUA